GGUGGCUCAAUGGUAGAGUGCUUGCCUUAAACGCAUGAAGCCCUGGGUUCGAUUCCUCAGCACCA
rnacentral:tRNA from 1 species